UGGGGAAUAUUGGACAAUGGGGGGAACCCUGAUCCAGCCAUGCCGCGUGUGUGAAGAAGGCCUUUUGGUUGUAAAGCACUUUAAGCGAGGAGGAGGCUCCUUUAGUUAAUACCUAAAGAGAGUGGACGUUACUCGCAGAAUAAGCACCGGCUAACUCUGUG
rnacentral:rRNA from 1 species